rnacentral:rRNA from 1 species
UCGGAUUGUAGGCUGCAACUCGCCUACAUGAAGCUGGAAUCGCUUGUAAUCGCGGAUCAGCAUGCCGCGGUGAAUACGUUCCCGGGCCUUGUACACACCGCCCGUCACACCACGAGAGUUUGUAACCCCCGAAAUCGGUGGAGUAACCGUAAGGAGCUAUGCCGCCUAAGGUGGGACAGAUGAUUGGGGUGAAGUCGAACA